UAGUGAGGGAGAUAAUGACGGUACUCACAGAAGAAGUCCUGGCUAACUCCGUSCCAGCAGCCGCGGUAAUACGGAGAGGGCUAGCGUUAUUCGGAAUUAUUGGGCGUAAAGGGCGCGUAGGCGGAUUAGUAAGUUAAAAGUGAAAUCCCAAGGCUCAACCUUGGAAUUGCUUUUAAAACUGCUAAUCUAGAGAUUGAAAGAGGAUAGAGGAAUUCCUAGUGUAGAGGUGAAAUUCGUAAAUAUUAGGAGGAACACCAGUGGCGAAGGCGUCUAUCUGGUUCAAAUCUGACGCUGAGGCGCGAAGGCGUGGGGAGCAAACAGGAUUAGAUACCCUGGUAGUCCACGCUGUAAACGAUGAAUGUUAAAUAUGGGAAGUUUUACUUUCUGUAUUACAGCUAACCCGUUAAACAUUCCGCCUGGGGACUACGGUCGCAAGAUUAAAACUCAAAGGAAUUGACGGGGACCCGCACAAGCGGUGGAGCAUGUGGUUUAAUUCGAUGCAACGCGAAAAACCUUACCACUCCUUGACAUGGAAAUUAUACCUAUUCGAAGGGAUAGGGUCGGUUCGGCCGGGUUUCACACAGGUGUUGCAUGGCUGUCGUCAGCUCGUGUCGUGAGAUGUUGGGUUAAGUCCCGCAACGAGCGCAACCCUCAUCCUUAGUUACCAUCAGGUAAUGCUGGGGACUUUAAGGAAACUGCCAGUGAUAAACUGGAGGAAGGUGGGGAUGAUGUCAAGUCAUCAUGGCCCUUAUGGAGUGGGCUACACACGUGCUACAAUGGUGGCUACAAUGGGCUGCAAAGUCGCGAGGCUAAGCUAAUCCCUUAAAAGCCAUCUCAGUUCGGAUUGUACUCUGCAACUCGAGUGCAUGAAGUUGGAAUCGCUAGUAAUCGUGGAUCAGCACGCCACGGUGAAUACGUUCUCGGGUCUUGUACACACUGCCCGUCACGCCAUGGGAAUUGGUUUCACUCGAAGCUAACGACCUAACCGCAAGGAGGGAGUUAUUUAAAGUGGGAUCGGUGACUGGGGUGAAGUCGUGACAAGGUAAUCUGC
rnacentral:rRNA from 1 species